ACACAUGCAAGUCGAGGGGCAGCAUUUUAGUUUGCUUGCAAACUGAAGAUGGCGACCGGCGCACGGGUGAGUAACACGUAUCCAACCUGCCGAUAACUCCGGAAUAGCCUUUCGAAAGAAAGAUUAAUACCGGAUAGCAUACGAAUAUCGCAUGAUAUUUUUAUUAAAGAAUUUCGGUUAUCGAUGGGGAUGCGUUCCAUUAGUUUGUUGGCGGGGUAACGGCCCACCAAGACUACGAUGGAUAGGGGUUCUGAGAGGAAGGUCCCCCACAUUGGAACUGAGACACGGUCCAAACUCCUACGGGAGGCAGCAGUGAGGAAUAUUGGUCAAUGGGCGAGAGCCUGAACCAGCCAAGUAGCGUGAAGGAUGAAGGCUCUAUGGGUCGUAAACUUCUUUUAUAUGGGAAUAAAGUUUUCCACGUGUGGAAUUUUGUAUGUACCAUAUGAAUAAGGAUCGGCUAACUCCGUGCCAGCAGCCGCGGUAAUACGGAGGAUCCGAGCGUUAUCCGGAUUUAUUGGGUUUAAAGGGAGCGUAGGUGGAUUGUUAAGUCAGUUGUGAAAGUUUGCGGCUCAACCGUAAAAUUGCAGUUGAAACUGGCAGUCUUGAGUACAGUAGAGGUGGGCGGAAUUCGUGGUGUAGCGGUGAAAUGCUUAGAUAUCACGAAGAACUCCGAUUGCGAAGGCAGCUCACUAGACUGUCACUGACACUGAUGCUCGAAAGUGUGGGUAUCAAACAGGAUUAGAUACCCUGGUAGUCCACACAGUAAACGAUGAAUACUCGCUGUUUGCGAUAUACAGUAAGCGGCCAAGCGAAAGCAUUAAGUAUUCCACCUGGGGAGUACGCCGGCAACGGUGAAACUCAAAGGAAUUGACGGGG
rnacentral:rRNA from 1 species